GAGGAAAUAGUGGCAGCUGACUGGUGGGUCUCAGGAAGAGCCACCUGAUCAUCAGGGCACUGGCAGGACCCCCCUGGGAAUCUUGAUGUGCUUCAGUGGUCGGGGGUUGGUGCGGAGCUCGGCUCAGUGAGAGCAGAGUAUGGUGUUUGCGAAAACUUGCGGAAGCUGGAGAUCACAGGCGUGUCUUGUCGGGACGUCUAUGCGAAGCUGCUUCACCGAUAUAGACACAUUUUGGGAUUGUGGCAGCCAGAUAUCGGGCCAUACGGAGGACUGCUGAACGUGGUGGUGGACGGCCUGUUCAUCAU
rnacentral:lncRNA from 1 species